AGUUCUAGCCUCGAUUCCAAGCCGCUGAGAAAGGCGGCCUGGUAUACACUGUUUACGCAUGCGCCAGAAUUACCAAGAAUCUUGGUAAUCGUAAAUUGCAGUAUAUUUAUCAGUAUUCUUAUUCCGCAUUAGUUUGUAAAACAUUGAUAUCCGUUUCAUUUAUAAUGAUGUCAUUGAAAAAAGAAAUCUAGUCCAAGUUGUGUAAUGGCUGCUACCUUCUCUUCUGCUCUUGUGUACGCGUUAUCCUGUGUUGGAAUACCAGGUCUAGUCUUGAAAGACAAGCAGCUGGAGGCGUUGAAGUGUCUGUACGCUGGUGUUUAUGUGGGUACCGUACCGACCGGCUAUGGCAAGUCCUAGUCCCAGAGCAAGUCCAUCUGCUUUCCAGACACUCCCUUUCUUGAUUGAUGUGAAGCUUGACAGGACCAGUGCACCUCUCUCUAAAAGAAGUGUUGUGAUGGUGAUUUCUCCUCUUGUUUCUCUGAGUGAAGCCAUCUUCAAAGUGUUGGUGUGUCUGUUCGACGUUCAGUGCCAUUCUCUCUGGAAGGAAGUAUUGUUGUGACAUUUGCCGAAAAUUGGUCACAGAGUAAGUACGUGGUAUCUGAUCCGAGAACUGUGUGGCCUGUUACAAUCCGAGGGACUUGUGUGUAUCCGAUCCGAGGGACUUGUUGCUUGAGUGUGUAUCCGGACUUGUUGCUUGAGUGUGUAUUAAUGGAUAGUGCUUUCAAUGGUUUAACUAAUUUCUUAUGAAAUUAACUUGUCGCCUUAGUGUGUAUCCGAUCCAAGCCUCAAGUUAAUGAAUAAAUCUACAGAGCUGAUGUUUUAUCUAGCUGUCUCUGUCUACAGUAUUAUGCAGAGAGGUAGCCUCUUCUUUUUCUUUUUUUUAACAAUAAGAUAAAAUACGGUAAAUAAUAAAUUAAUUGUCCACCCACACGCCAACAGUAAAUACCAGGCCCACUAUUCAAGGGGCUGGAGUCGAGGCUAACUCAGUUCUUGCAGACGUUGUUAGAGUCUAACUUAGACUUCUGGGUUAGGCCAGAUGUCCGUGGCUUAACUGUAUUCAUACCUGAAAUGCCGUGAAAAUUUUGAAUCGUCAUUCACGAAAGAAUGAAUUUAGGAUUACUGUGAGGUCAUUUGUGGAGAUGGUUAGAUAUCUGUUCACGAUACCUGGAGUCAUCAGCAACAGGUUGUGCCAGGACCCCGUUAAAUUGGCCAACAAAGACAGAGGGGUAAAUCCAACGAGAACCCGAAUGUUAGUGAAUUUGCUAAGAACACACAGGCUCUUCGGGUGAUCAACAGCACACGUGCAACAAUUAGAGGCAACUGCUGAAAGACAAUAGAAGACGACCAUUGCAGCUAGGUGAUGAGAAUAACCCCUUCCCAAAAGAAGGCACAAGCAUAAUAUUGUAUAGAGAAAUCAAUUGUUCACAUGUUCAAUCACAUUCACAUGUUCAAUUCUUAACUGUGAUAAAUAAUUGUUCAAUUCUAUAAAUUUAACUGUGCAUGAUAAUUAAAUGAUGCUGCAGAGUGUCACGACUUCAAUUCUGUGUAGAAUUUCACAGUAA